rnacentral:rRNA from 1 species
UGGGGAAUAUUGCACAAUGGGCGCAAGCCUGAUGCAGCAACGCCGCGUGAGUGAUGAAGGCCUUCGGGUCGUAAAACUCUGUCCUAAGGGAAGAUAAUGACGUACCUUGAGAGCCCCU